AAUGUUCUGUCUGAGUUCCACAAUAUAUGCGAAUCAAAAUUGCAAGUACUGCAUUCUCUGAAACAACAGGUCUAGCUUUAUAAUUUACAGUUGGAGGUUCUUACUGGUUUGACUUGGUAUUGGGCCUGUGCUGACCUCACAGUGAUGGGCCCCAAGGGUUGAAGAUACAGUCCUGCGCUGACCUCACAGUGAUGGGUUCCAAGCAGUUGAAGAUACAGUCCUAGCAUAUUCCCUUUCAAAGAGUAAAGCUCCCAGGUUUGUUUGAGUUGGUUUCAUUCAUAAUUCAAUCUUGAACAAUUUCUACGGGAGUCGGUUUUCAUGAAUGAUUCGUCUGCUGUUGUUCCUAGUUGUUUCGGAAGUGUACACUAAAUAACAAGGAAAUGUCCCAUUCUGACAUGGUUUAGUUUCUUCAAAGAAUUCAAGCAAUUUUGUUGCCGUGAAAUUUUGACAAUAUAUGCAUGUAAUUGUUAUUU
rnacentral:lncRNA from 1 species